CGGGGCGUGGCGCAGUUUGGCUAGCGCGUCGGCUUUGGGAGCCGAAGGCCGCCGGUUCAAGUCCGGCCGCCCCGACCA
rnacentral:tRNA from 1 species